UACGUCGGGGGCAAGCGUUGUCCGGAAUUAUUGGGCGUAAAGCGCGUGUAGGCGGCUCGGUAAGUCUGCUGUGAAAGUCCAGGGCUCAACCCUGGAAUGCCGGUGGAUACUGUCGAGCUCGAGUCCGGAAGAGGCGAGUGGAAUUCCUGGUGUAGCGGUGAAAUGCGCAGAUAUCAGGAGGAACACCAAUGGCGAAGGCAGCUCGCUGGGACGGUACUGACGCUGAGACGCGAAAGCGUGGGGAGCAAACAGG
rnacentral:rRNA from 1 species